rnacentral:rRNA from 1 species
UUCAACGGCCGCGGUAUUCUAACCGUGCAAAGGUAGCGUAAUCACUUGUCUCCUAAAUAGAGACCAGUAUGAAUGGCUAAAUGAGGACAAGCCUGUCUCUUACAUCCUAUCAAUGAAACUGAUCUUCAAGUCAAAAAGCUAGAAUAUUAACAUAAGACGAGAAGACCCUGUGGAGCUUAAAAUAUACUACUAAACAAACUAAUAUUUCAGCACAACUAGUACGAAUUUUGAGUUGGGGCGACUUCGGAACAAAACAAAACUUCCAAGCACAGAACCACCACUUCUAACCAAGGCCAACAAGCCAAAGCAAAAACUGACCCAGUAAUACUGAUCAACGAACCAAGUUACCCCAGGGAUAACAGCGCUAUCUUCUUCAAGAGUCCCUAUCGACAAGAAGGUUUACGACCUCGAUGUUGGAUCAGGACACCCAAAUGGUGCAGCCGCUAUUAAAGGUUCGUUUGUUCAACGAUUAACAGUC